rnacentral:rRNA from 1 species
AUACGUGGGGAGCAAGCGUUGUUCGGAUUUACUGGGCGUAAAGAGCACGUAGGCGGGUGUGUAAGUCGGUCGUGAAAUCCUCUGGCUCAACCAGAGAAUUGCGGCCGAAACUACUCAUCUUGAGUCUAUCAGAGGGAAUUGGAAUCCAGGGUGUAGCGGUGAAAUGCGUAGAGAUCCUGGAGAACACCAGUGGCGAAGGCGAAUUCCUGGGAUAGUACUGACGCUGAGACGCGAAAGCGUGGGGAGCAAACAGGAUUAGAAACCCCAGUAGUCC